rnacentral:rRNA from 1 species
GACGAACGCUGGCGGCGUGCCUAAUACAUGCAAGUUGAGCGAUGAAGAUUGGUGCUUGCACCAAUUUGAAGAGCAGCGAACGGGUGAGUAACGCGUGGGUAAUCUGCCUUUGAGCGUGGGACAACAUUUGGAAACGAAUGCUAAUACCGCAUAACAACUUUAAACAUAAGUUUUAAGUUUGAAAGAUGCAAUUGCUUCACCUAAAGAUGAUCCCGCGUUGGAUUAGCUAGUUGGUGAGGUAAAGGCUCACCAAGGCGAUGAUACAUAGCCGACCCGAGAGGGUGAUCGGCCACAACGGGAAUGGGACACGGCCCAAAAUCCUAAGGGAGGCAGCAGUAGGGAAACUUCGGCAAAGGGCGGAAGUCUGGACGAACAACGCCGCGUGAGUGGAGAAAGGUUUCGGAUCGUAAAACUCUGUUGGUAGAGAAGAACGUUGGGGAGAGUGGAAAGCUCAUCAAGUGACGGUAACUACCCAGAAAGGGACGGCUAACUACGUG